rnacentral:rRNA from 1 species
GUGACCCCAGGAUGGGCGAGGCCACCCGCCGAGUUUAAGCAUAUCAAUAAGCGGAGGAGAGAACU